GUGCUCACUUCGGCAGCACUUACACUAAAAUGGGAACGGUAUGGACAAAUGUUAGCCUGGGACGAGCUCAGCACGGCCCCUGCACAAGGGAGACACGCAAACUCAGGAAGCCGUCUAUACUUUU
ensembl:snRNA U6 U6 spliceosomal RNA